rnacentral:rRNA from 1 species
CGCUGGCGGCGUGCUUAACACAUGCAAGUCGAGCGAGGAACUUCGGUUCCUAGCGGCGAACGGGUGAGUAACACGUGGGCAACCUGCCCCGAGCUCUGGGAUAACUUCGGGAAACCGGGGCUAAUACCGGAUAUGACACUACUGGACAUCUGGUGGUGUGGAAAGAUUUAUCGGCUUGGGAUGGGCCCGCGGCCUAUCAGCUUGUUGGUGGGGUAACGGCCUACCAAGGCGACGACGGGUAGCCGGCCUGAGAGGGCGAUCGGCCACACUGGGACUGAGACACGGCCCAGACUCCUACGGGAGGCAGCAGUGGGGAAUAUUGCGCAAUGGGCGGAAGCCUGACGCAGCGACGCCGC